CCCUGCCACGCCGCCGCCGUCGCCACUCGUCCGGGCACCUAUCCACGACCCCGCGCUGCCCCUCUCCUCUUCCUCCCGCCUCACCUCUAUCUUUCUCUCUCUCUCCUCUUCAAACCUUAACCCUAGCAACUAGCCUCCGCUUGCCGCUGCAGCUGCUCCUGCUCAAGGACGAGGUGAUGAAGAUCACCCCCGUGCAGAAGCAGACGCGCGCCAACCAGCGCACCCGCUUCAAGGCCUUCGUCGGUGGCGGCAACAGCAACGGCCACGUCGGCCUCGGUGUCAAGUGCGCCAAGGAGGCGGCCACGGCCAUCCGCGGCACCAUCAUCCUCGCCAAGCCCCUUGGGGGUCUAGAAUCAUGGCCGCCCGCGUCCCCAAGAAGUAGCUGCAGUUCGUCGGCAUCGAUGAUGUCUUCACUUCCUCUCGUCGAUCCACCAAGGUAGAGGGACAAAAAUUGAAGAUUCAAAUGAGCGACUCAAAUUCAGGAUUUGAGUUACCAACGUAGUGUCUACGACUGGCUGAUGGUUCAAGAGUUCGAAGAAAGUCAAGCAGAAUGGAAUACUACACAUGCCCACGCUGCUAUAUGCCAAGGAUGGACAAGGGUAUCAUUAUGUAUAUAUGUGAUAGUCGUGGUGUCCCUGAAAUUUACGAGGAAGAUGGAGCUAGCACGAUUGGUGCAUCAGAACCUUCAGUUGUCCUGCUUAUUUCUGAGACCAAUUUAUAGCUCAGAAUGUACCUAUUCAUUUGUGAUGAUGACGAUGAGAUCAAUUUUGUUUCUGUCAAAAGCUGAGGUAACUAUUUUUAAUCCUUGUGCCUUUAGUCAGUUUGACAGCUACACAUUGGAUAUAGAUAAUGUAAGUAAUCUUAAAUAGAGUGAAAGCUUUCAUUUCCUACAGAUUGCAGGCUACAAAAUUGUCUAUCGUAUUAUCACAAAGUAGGAGAGAGAACUAUUAUGCAAACACACCAAGACACAUUGUUAUCCACGUUACAUAUUUGCCGGAACAUUCAUACAUGUUGGCUACCAAUUAUUCACCAUAAAUCCAGAAGAGAACUAGCAUAACAAUUGGAGCUUUGUCCUGCAAAUUAUUUAAAGCUUCAAACUCCGAGCUACAGCCUGGAAGACAGGUUUUUGGGGUUUAGCUUAGCAUGCAUAGUUGACGCGGAAUGCAACUAUAACCGGCGCAGCGGAGUGCGCCUUACCCUUCUGCUUAUUGUGCUUGCAGUUCUUCGAGUCAAAAUGCUAUCCAGUCGGCUCCCAAUUCUGCUUAUUAUGGUCUUUGCUUAGCCAUAUAAUCAAAUGCCAGAUAGGUCACAUGGUUGAUUAGAAAAAGAGCAUUGAGGGUCUAUGCUUAUUGUGGUUGCAGUUCUUCGAAUGAAAAUGUUAUUCUUGGUUUCUAGAUUAAUUUGGUUAUCCAGUCGGCUCCCAGUUUCCAGUUUCUUAUUAUACGAGGAAUCGAUGGUUUACUGUUAAUUAUUUUGUUUUAUUUUUUUCUUGGUUUUUUGCUUGAUGUGUUUUCGAUUGGGAGCUCUCCACUGGGGAAGAUACCUCCACGCCCAGCCACCUCUUCACCACCACGCGCUAGUCAGCGCAUGAGGCGGCGGAACUGGCGGCGCCGUCCAGCAGGAGAACAUACACGAUAUAACCCUUGCUCAUUCAUGUACGUGAAGUUGAGCAUGCCCGCACUGAUGGGCGCCAUCACCGUUGACGGCAAGAGUGCAAGUCGCGGCUCAGGCCGCUGCUCCGUUGGGAUCACCAUCGUGUGCGGUCAUUGUACUCGCGUUGCACGUGUGCUCAGAGUUGUUGAUGCAAUGAGAGCUCGAUGUCGUGUCCGCCGGCUGAGCGGCAAGCCGGAGCUGCAAGUCUAUGAACAUGGUGGUGCUACUGUCAUCAGUGUUCCCUAUAUAUCAUCCAUUGCGAUCAAUUAAGAGGUGAAUACAUCAUGUUUGGCAAUAAAUCUCGCUUAGACAAAGAAGAUGUUUGUCUAUAAUUUUCUACCCUCUUGAAUAUGCACACCACCACCCCGCGAUCUUCUCGGAGAACCUCUGAGUGUGUUUGAGCGACAUCACCACAUCCGAUGGAGCCAGUCGUGCACUUUACGAUGUUUUCAUGCACCAUGUUAACAUGAAUGGAUAUGAUGGUAUGAUCUCCAUGAGCCUCAAUACUGCCAUCAGAUCAGGAGAGCUAAUUCUCACUAUCUCGACGGGGUGGCGACCAUUCCCGUGAGGCCCGGCCACGAGCAGUGCUCCUUUUGCUGAGCGCCGAGGAGUCGAAGGGUGCUCCGGAUUCGGAUCUGGGCGCGGUGGCGUCCAUGGCCAAGCUCGAACCUGGGCGUGUGGGCGCGUUGGUGAUCGUGGCAGCGGUCGGGGCCGAGCUCUGAGCACGGUGGCUGCCAUGGCCGAACUCGACUGUCUCGUACGUGACGAUUCGCCACCAGACAAGAAUAAAGGAGGAGCGAGCGGCGGAGAUGAGAGGAUCAGCAGCCAUGGCGACCACUCACCCAGAACUAGACAUGUGAUUUCAUCUGGUCCAUCAUGGAGUACUGCAAAUCUACCAUGCAAACGGUAUUUUGCUGGUACGAGGAGACAUGGCUGGAAGCAACGGCGAAGCACACCAGUAGUAUCUCUGUUUGGGAGAAAGAGCGCAAAGAGGACCACCAGAGAAACGGUUGUUCCAGACCCAGACUAUCGACUACCAAUCGCUAUACUUGUUUUGCUCUUCCUAGGAUGGCCUGGAUGGCCUGAGGUGAGCAGCCUUUGAUACGCCGUGUUAGGCGCCCAGGUGUUGCCUUUCUGAUAAAUCAGGCUACCACCGACCAGCUCGAGCUCGCUUCAGCCUCCACCUCUAGCCCCUAACAGCCUCCUCCUCUCAUCUUGCAGCUACUACCUCAUCGCCAUGCUACAACAAAAAAGAUUCAUGUGAGGCGGUCCCUAUGAAGUACAUCGACGAGACAGAUGGAUUACGCCAUCUAUUAGUAUGCUUAGUGAUUCUGUAGUUGGCUCUUUUUAUUAUGUUCAUGUUCUUAUUAACUCCUCUUAUGUGUUCUCGCAAUUGGUAUCGAACUUCAUGUCGAAUGGCUAUCUUUUGUGGUCGUAUGAACGGGUCGAGCUUGAUCCUGCCUUAUAAAUUGAUGUUGUCUUGUGCUCCA